rnacentral:rRNA from 1 species
UACGUAGGGUGCUAGCGUUGUUCGGAAUUAUUGGGCGUAAAGCGCGUGUAGGUGGUUUGUUAAGUCGGAUGUGAAAUUCCUGGGCUCAACCUGGGGGCUGCGUUUGAUACGUGCGGACUUGAGUGCGGAAGAGGGUCGUGGAAUUCCCAGUGUAGAGGUGAAAUUCGUAGAUAUUGGGAAGAACACCGGUGGCGAAGGCGGCGACCUGGUCCGAUACUGACGCUGAGGCGCGAAAGCGUGGGGAGCAAACAGG